ensembl:lncRNA
GUGCAUCCACCUGCGCGGCACCGUCCCGUGUGGCGAAGCGAAUCGCAGAACCCCGAGUCUCGUGUCCCUGAGCUCUCCCUGGCAUCGCCCGAGAGCGAUUCGCGAAGGAAACGUCUUUCAGCGGCACAGCCCGGCCUGAAAGUUCCGAUUUUAUAACGGCUUUGAUUGGCGCGACGUGGAUGAGACGGGGAGUAAACUUGCCACUAAAGUGUAAACAUUUCAUCUGCGCGAAAACAAAGAAUUAGCGGUGCCACAGAGGUAUUUCUAAGCGUAAGCCGAGGAGUGACGCGGCACCUCGGGCUGCAGGAGGCGUUGAGAUCCCUCUGCAGGACCGCGAGCAUCACAGAGCGAUUUGCGGGCUGAAUGAGAAAGGUGGGAAAACGUAUAGUUAAAAAUAAAAAUAAAAGCACACAUUGAAAUUCUUCGGUAAACCGAGAAACAGCGACGCGGGGAUCUGUCAUCCUCGGAACAGAGCUAUUUGUCUUCGAUGUCUCAUUAGUCGACAGAGGUUCAAUAGCACGAGGGUUGGUGCUAUUUUCAAAUCCAAGCCACUCUCCUUUCAAUAUGCCCGAGCAGGACUCUGCUGUCGGGAAUUGUGUUUUAACUAAAUAAUGAAAAUGGGAGGUGGGCCCUGGGCUGCCAGGCGGCCCUCGGCUCCCCGUGCCCGGCGGAGGGGAAGCACCGUGGGCAGAACCGCGGCGCUCCGGUCCGGGAGAACCGGGCACAGCGCGGGGACCACGCGAGGCUCAACCGCGCGGUGAGGAAAGCGCCUACGUAAAGGGAAGCGAUCCGCAUUGUCGUGCGGAUCUGUUAACUCCUCCCGUGACCUUACAGCCACGCACGGCGCGAAGCGAGCCCCUCCGCCUGCUCUGAGCACAACAAACCCGACCUUUCCCUCCGUGGAUUUAAUCCUGGGAUCACGCGACCCACGGCGAGAGCGGUGCCACGCUGCAAAUGGGCGUUUUGCACGGACUUCCCGGACUAUUUUUGCUCUCAGCUGCAAACCAACCAAGUGUUCGAUGCAAUACCUGCCGCACAGCCGCCGAGCUGGCAGGGAGCAGUGACGUGCUCGUGCACAAAUGAACGACAUUUUUUUUUUCCCCCAGCAAGUACAUUUCUCAAACAUUAACAACGUGGACCAAAAAAAGAAAAAGAAAAAAAAAAAAAAGGACUAAUUGAGCUUGUGUCGGUAUUGGCUAAUUUCUGCUAUUACUCCGUAAAUUCCUCUUUUCCUCCCAACCUUCCCCCGUGCAGGUUAGGUUUGCACAAAGCACCUCCGCAGCCCGGCGGUGCUCGUCCCAGCGCCUUGAAGUACACAAUGAGAACCUCAACUCCUGGCUCCGGGAGCGCCGAAUGCCCUCCCGGCCCCCCCCCCCCCCCCUCCCAGCUCUGAUUGACUCUGUUUGGAAAUUUGCACUUGUUCCCACCGAGCGCAGCCCGACUCGUCCUGGCUCCGGAGUGAACUUGUGUUGAAGGUGAAGUUUUCAAUCUAGAGGUCAUGACACCGAGCCGCCGCUUACCGCUCCGAGCUUCAUGCCGUAUUAAACACAAUCAAAACGAACCCCUUUUAGACCUCUUCUUUUUUUUCCUUCCCCCCCCCCCCCCCCCCUCCUCCUGCGGAUGAACAAUGAGGAAAAAAAAAAAAUCUCUAAAAUAUAAUAAACGCGUGAUAACAACACCGUUCCUCGCGCUUCUCGGGGAGCUCCCCGCCG